rnacentral:lncRNA from 1 species
UCCUGCCUAGGCUCUUCUUUCUGCUCCUGUCACCAUGGCCCCGGCCUGGGCGCUCAAGCGACCCUCUCGCUCCGCCCAGACCCCUGGAUGCCCAGCUGCCGCACCUCCCGUGGCCUCACGCUGUGGCUACGUGUUGUCUGAAGACGCCUGGGGAAACCUUCAGGGCCUCUGUACUGGCCUGUCAUGUGGUCAACCAGGAUAAUAGAUGGUUUUCCCUCAGUGUGAACAUCAAGGUGUCUGGGUUCAUGGAACCUGGUGAAGAAACCACCUACAACUAUACCAUGUCCUGUCCCUAUUUCACAUGGGCCUCAAGGGAGAUUCUCUGAAGGGAACUACAUGGAGAUCUCAAACUUGAUUGCACAGUCAACCCAGCUCCUGUCUGUCAGGCUCAGGAACCACUUACAAGCUAUGGCAGGUGAUGUUCCAGCAUCCCACAGGGAGGAAGAUUAUGCUGGUGAGCCACGUGGCCAAGCAGGACUAUGGCUUCAACAGCUCUGGGGCCUGCAUGUUCCUGCAUUAGCCCUACUCCAGCAAUGAGGCUGAAGUCACCAGAGUGACAUCAUGGUAUCUGUGGUGCAAGCUAUAGCAUCCACCUAUUCUUGGAGCACACAUGGUCAGACACUGAUUGGCAUGUGACCAAGUUGAUGGUGGUCAAAACAGAACUCCUUUCAUGCCCACAAGCUUCAGUAUUACUGUGUUCCCUGCCACUUCUGUUGAAGUUAUGCAGGCUUGGGAUGAUCCUUUGGUGUGAACGAAGCCCCAGAGAGGACCACGUGGAGAGUGCCUGACUGUUCCUGUGAUGUCUUCUAGUAUAUGAACAGGAAUGAAACCCACUAUGUCCUCCACGUGAACUAUACGCUGAGCAUGGGUCCAGAUGGGAAACCAUUCUCCUACCCUGCAGAAAUGGAACAUAGUUUCGAGGAUGUUGCCAACCUAAUCACCAUGCCUCAGAUAGUAUCCAGGUUUUGCCUUCAGCCCCUCAAAUCAUACAUAUAAAAAAGGAACAAAGUCCAAUAUUUAUCCACAACCUACUUGAUGGCCUAAAAAUGCAUUUUAAAUGGGUGUGUCUGAGGUCACUUGUGAAAAGCCCUGGGGUCAGGAGCCAAGUCCUACCUCAAGGAGCAGCAUAGAGGCUUAGUCCAGCCUAGUCCAAGGACUGCCAGAUAAAAUAGAGAACAGGCUUUGAUCAAAAUAUGGUUGGAAACAGGAUGGUUGUGAGAACUAUGGCUGUGUUCCUAGUGUGUUUCCCUAGUGGGACUGUGGCCAUCUCUUCCAUGAUGGCCACAGACCCUUCCACUGACAUGUGCAAGGCCACACUGAAGGACCGCACCUGCAAGCCAACAGAGUCUAGCAGGAACCAAGCCUUCUUCCGACUUGACGUCACCAGCCAUGGUACCUCAGUGAGGCUGCAAAAAAGAGAAUAACCUGUUGGAGGUAGACUUUUACCCUGUCUCCCAGGGUGAGAGGGUCCAAUACCCCUCAUUGGUCAAGAAGCUGGUGAAGUUUGUGGCACCCAGAUUCAAAGAGGUGUAUCUGUACCACCUGACCCAAUCCUGCCUACACUUGGACCCUGAUGGGCAUUGUGGUGGCCAGUACUAUCCAGAGGAGAGAGGAGGAGUGACUCCCGGACUUAUAUGCCCACAAGCCAGAAGAUCAAGAUCUGAGUGGGAACUGUGGAAAGCAUGUCACGUGAGCCCCUGCCGCCCUUGAAACUCUGCCUUCCCUCCUCCUCAAAGAACAGUGCCUGAAGGUCCUGGCUGUGGUCCUGGCUGGCCAUCUUGCUUCCUGGUCAUGGUGGUGGCCACUGUGCUGGUCCUGUCCAAGAUGACCUGUAUAUCAUUCCAUGAAUGACACGUGACAACAGAUUCCCAGUGUAAUAAGCACAUUUAACCCAGCACUUGUCAGCCCCACUGUUCUGUUGGAAAUGUUCUAUUUCACUGAUCUUGCCUCUUCUAAAACAAGGGACAACUCCUGGCACUCCACUGCAGAGGCCCUUGAAGCCUGUUGGAAUUUUAGUGAAAUGAGAUGCCUGACUUAAGCCAUGUUGCCUGGCUUCUCAAGUAUCAGCAGACCUAUUACUAGCAAGGAAGAAAGCUAGCGGCAAGAAUGGUUAUUGCAUCCUAGAGACAUUUAGUGGAGGAGAAAACUGCCCUGGUACCUCCAUAGCCCUAAGUGCUGCCCAGAGUUCUGAGCUCUCAGUGAGCACUUGGAACAUGUCUGCCUGCAGCCUCCCUACACUUUCUUAUGACUUGUCCUACUUGUCAAGCCCAGCUUGUCCCACUUCUCCACAUGAGUCUUCCAGUGACAUCUGUGUGACCAUCUCCACCCCCUGGGUAAAUGCUCCGUGCUGGGAGUCCACAAAACACAGUCUGACUUAGAGAUUCUCUGGCAUGACUCUCUUCCCCAUUGUGUACACUGACUGCCUUAGAUGUAGGCCUCUCUUCUGGGCCCCUUCCUGGCCAGACCCAGAAGCAGCCUCCGAGGAUGGUGGUAAGAAUGGUUCCCUAGAGCCCA